AAUCCCACAACUCCCGGCUCUGCCUUCCUGUAUGUGUAUAUAUAUAUAUAUAUAUAUAUAUAUAUAUAUAUAUAUAUAUAUGGGAAGGCGGAGCCGGGAGUUGUGGGAG